UUCCUCAUGCAGGCGCCAGGUCCCACACUGGACAUCAUCUCUCCUGGUUUGGGGAUCUGGCAGGAGGAGGAAGCACCAAUUCGUUGACUUGGCAGCAAAUGUAAAAACCAUUUCAUAGGCAUUAUACCUGAGGACAGGCAUUCCCCAGAUAAUUAAAUGGGCCCGUUGUAAGCUAAUUCGGCUUUGAUGCCCAUGCCUUGGUCUUUUCCCCAAGUACUUGGAAAGUAAUUUGCCUGAGUCUCAUGCAAACCCUGGACUCCAACUGUCCAGCCACAAGGCAACACUAAUUGCCUUCUCUUCCCUUCAAAAUGCAGGCAGUUUCUCCUAAUUUACAAGUUAGAAACAAUUCAUGGAAGCAUCUGUUUUUGUCAUCAAGGACAGAGCUGUGUUUGAAACCACCAGGCCAAAGAUACCUCGUGUCAGCUCUUCCAGAACCAGAUCAAAAUCCCUUGGAUAAAAGAGACUCACUCCAGCCCUUAAACAAGAGAUUAGUGUGAGCCUAGGACUGCUGUUGGCCAUCUUCCCCACGUUUGGAGAGAGACUUCCUAAGCCCAUGAACAGAACAGAGAGAAAGAGAAAUAAUGUUGUGACAUUAUCAUUUGAGCACCUGGAUCCAGCCAGGUCAUCUUUUCAGUUAUAGGAAACAAUAAAUUCUAUUUAAAA